rnacentral:rRNA from 1 species
AUACGUAGGGGGCGAGCGUUGUCCGGAAUGAUUGGGCGUAAAGGGCGCGUAGGCGGCCCGGUAAGUCUGGAGUGAAAGUCCUGUUUUUAAGAUGGGAAUUGCUUUGGAUACUGUCGGGCUUGAGUGCAGGAGCGGUAAGUGGAAUUCCCAGUGUAGCGGUGAAAUGCGUAGAGAUUGGGAGGAACACCAGUGGCGAAGGCGACUUACUGGACUGUAACUGACGCUGAGGCGCGAAAGUGUGGGGAGCAAACAGGAUUAGAUACCCUGGUAGUCCACACUGUAAACGAUGAAUGCUAGGUGUAGGGGGUAUCGACCCCUUCUGUGCCGCAGUCAACACAAUAAGCAUUCCGCCUGGGGAGUACGGCCGCAAGGUUGAAACUCAAAGGAAUUGACGGGG